rnacentral:miRNA from 1 species
UUUGUCAUAGCCGAACAGCGU